GACAGAGGUGCCAAGCGUUAGGCGGAAUCACUGGGCUUAAAGCGUGUGUAGGCGGACGCCUAAGUACCUUGUGAAAUCCCCCGGCUCAACCGGGGAACUGCUGGGUAUACUGGGCGUCUUGGGCCAACUAGGGGCUGCCGGAACAAAUGGUGGAGCGGUGAAAUUCGUAGAUAUCGGGAGGAACACCAGUGGCGAAGGCGGCGACCUGGACGGACAUUGACGCUGAGACGCGAAAGCGUGGGGAGCAAACAGG
rnacentral:rRNA from 1 species